CACAUAUCUGAAUUUUUGUGUGGCUGAAAUAGUUGAUUCAUCAAUUAAAACCUUUACAUCUACCUCUGAAGUCUCCUCAGCACCUUCAGACCUACAAACAACAGACGUCCCAUCGCUGGAGAUGCUGGAGAAACAACAUGAAUUUCAUAACUUGGCACAAUAACCUUUCAACUGGGCAACUUCUUUCUCCGAGGCUGACCGUUCUGCUUCCACCAGCAUCCAGAUAUUUUCCUGACAGGGUGAUCAGGGUUCCUCCAAUCUUAGGUCCUAUGCCUGGACUGAUAUCUGUGAUUUCUGGGGUCUUAUGAGAGAUAAGAGUUUGCUCUGGACCUGACAUUUCACCGUCAAUCCUACACACCAGCCUGAGCGAAGAAUGAAAAAUUACAUUUAUUAAUACAUUCAUGUUGUUAUUGUUAACCAAAAGUCUUAAAAAUUGGUUUUGAUCAUUUAAAAGAUUAGAAAAAACAAACAAAUAAAAAGACUAUAACUUAAACUAAAAUUACUAUUAGAACUAAUAAUUUAAAUAAAAGCUAAUUCAAAAUAUUAAUAAACACUGUGAUAGUAUAUAAAUAAUACUAAAAUAACAACACAUAUGUAUGUGUGAGGUUGCAAAGGUUAUCUGUCUCAUAAACGAAAGGGUACUGGAUAUUUUUGGGUUGAAAAAUGACAAAAAUCCCCAAUCUCUCUUUGAUAUGCAUCUGCCACAACUUCCUGCUUCAAUGGGAAAGAACUGUAUUUAUAUAUUUUUUUUGUGGAGAAACUAAAAUGUGUAUAU